AGAGUUUGAUCCUGGCUCAGAUUGAACGCUGGCGGCAUGCCUUACACAUGCAAGUCGAACGGCAGCGCGGGAGCAAUCCUGGCGGCGAGUGGCGAACGGGUGAGUAAUACAUCGGAACGUGCCCAGUAAUGGGGGAUAGCCCGGCGAAAGCCGGAUUAAUACCGCAUACGACCUACGGGUGAAAGCGGGGGAUUCGCAAGAACCUCGCGUUAUUGGAGCGGCCGAUGUCAGAUUAGGUAGUUGGUGGGGUAAAGGCCUACCAAGCCUGCGAUCUGUAGUUGGUCUGAGAGGACGACCAGCCACACUGGGACUGAGACACGGCCCAGACUCCUACGGGAGGCAGCAGUGGGGAAUUUUGGACAAUGGGCGCAAGCCUGAUCCAGCAAUGCCGCGUGCAGGAAGAAGGCCUUCGGGUUGUAAACUGCUUUUGUCAGGGAAGAAAUCCUCUGGGUUAAUACCUCGGGGGGAUGACGUACCU
rnacentral:rRNA from 1 species